rnacentral:rRNA from 1 species
GUAGGGUGGGCAAGCGUUGUCCGGAAUUAUUGGGCGUAAAGCGCGCGCAGGCGGUCCUUUAAGUCUGAUGUGAAAGCCCACGGCUCAACCGUGGAGGGUCAUUGGAAACUGGGGGACUUGAGUACAGAAGAGGAAAGCGGAAUUCCAAGUGUAGCGGUGAAAUGCGUAGAGAUUUGGAGGAACACCAGUGGCGAAGGCGGCUUUCUGGUCUGUAACUGACGCUGAGGCGCGAAAGCGUGGGGAGCAAACAGGAUUAGAUACCCUGGUAGUCCACGCCGUAAACGAUGAGUGCUAAGUGUUAGGGGGUUUCCGCCCCUUAGUGCUGCAGCUAACGCAUUAAGCACUCCGCCUGGGGAGUACGGCCGCAAAGGCUG